rnacentral:tRNA from 1 species
GGGCCCGUAGCUCAGUGGCAGAGCUCCCGGCUCAUAACCGGUUGGUCGCAGGUUCGAAUCCUGCCGGGCCCACCA